rnacentral:tRNA from 1 species
CACUAGGAAGCUAAAUAGGGUUUAGCAUUAGCCUUUUAAGCUAAAGAUUGGUGAUCCCCAACCACCCCUAAUGA